CGGUGGAUGAUGUGGUUUAAUUCGAUGCAACGCGAAAACCUUACCCACCUUGACAUGGCAGGAAUCCUGAAGAGAUUGGGAGUGCUCGAAAGAGAACCUGCACACAGGUGCUGCAUGGCUGUCGUCAGCUCGUGUCGUGAGAUGUUGGGUUAAGUCCCGCAACGAGCGCAACCCUUGCCAUUAGUUGCUACGAAAGGGCACUCUAAUGGGACUGCCGGUGACAAACCGGAGGAAGGUGGGGAUGACGUCAAGUCCUCAUGGCCCUUAUAGGUGGGGCUACACACGUCAUACAAUGGCCGGUACAGAGGGUAGCCAACCCGCGAGGGGGAGCCAAUCCCACAAAGCCGGUCGUAGUCCGGAUCGCAGUCUGCAACUCGACUGCGUGAAGUUGGAAUCGCUAGUAAUCGCAGAUCAGCACGCUGCGGUGAAUACGUUCCCGGGCCUU
rnacentral:rRNA from 1 species